UUUCAAAACAAAAUGCACAAACAAUACAAAAUAGAAGUCAAUUUUUGUGAAAUACUCUGAUAGAAGCUUCAUCCCUCUUCAUUGUUCAUCCCAAUCGAGAGGGGAAGAUGCAUCUAUGGCCUUCGACGAGGAUCAGAGACUCUUUCAAGCACGCUUACAUCAAAAAGCUGGAAUGGAACCUCCACAGAAUGAAAAUUCAAAAGCAUCAGCAGCAAUCUUCGAGCAAACAAAACUUGUUGGAUAAAGAACAAGCUUCUGAUGCUGCUGAUGGCGAACCUGCAGAAUGUUCCAGUUCACUUUCUUUUGGUCAACGAGUACUUGAAUUCUCCUCAGAACUCCUCCUUCUUCUCUCCUGUUGUUACUGCUGCUAUUGCUGCGGAGCUUGCCUCUCCGAAGAAGAACAUUAAUGUUGUUGAAGAAUAGAUGCUUGGAAUUGAUAAAGACAGCUGAUUGAUGCAGAUGAUAUUUACAUUAUUUGUACUGUAGCCUAGCCAUGUACAGGUAAUUCUAGCGUUAAUGAACAUUGGCACAUAUUGAUCUCCUUUUCUUUUCAUUACGUUGAAGAUAUUGUUAAACCUAAACCAGGGAAUUAUAUAUACAUGUAACUUAGAUUUAGGAACUCCCAACAUACUGUUGGGAUAAACACUAUAUUCUUCGGAUCAA